rnacentral:rRNA from 1 species
GACGAACGCUGGCGGCGUGCCUAAUACAUGCAAGUCGAACGAACCGCGACUAGGUGCUUGCACUUGGUCAAGGUGAGUGGCGAACGGGUGAGUAACACGUGGGUAACCUACCUCAUAGUGGGGGAUAACAGUCGGAAACGACUGCUAAUACCGCAUAGGACAUGGGAUCACAUGAUUCUGUGAGGAAAGGUGGCGCAAGCUAUCGCUAAGAGAUGGACCCGCGGUGCAUUAGCUAGUUGGUAGGGUAACGGCCUACCAAGGCGAUGAUGCAUAGCCGACCUGAGAGGGUGAUCGGCCACAUUGGGACUGAGACACGGCCCAAACUCCUACGGGAGGCAGCAGUAGGGAAUCUUCCGCAAUGGACGCAAGUCUGACGGAGCAACGCCGCGUGAGUGAAGAAGGUCUUCGGAUCGUAAAGCUCUGUUGUUAGAGAAGAACAGCGCAUAGAGUAACUGUUAUGCUUGUGACGGUAUCUAACCAGAAAGCCACGGCUAACUACGUG